rnacentral:misc_RNA from 1 species
GUGAAUCAUCGAAUCUUUGAACGCAAAUUGCACUCUCUUCGGAGAGUAUGCGUGUUUGAGUGUGAGCGUAAAUAAAAUCGACAUAGUCGCUGUGUCGCGGUGACAUUCGUCGGCCUUUGGGUUAACUUAAACCUUUGGGUUUUAAGCGGCUUAAAAUUUUCUUUACGGUUCUACGAACGUUUCUAAGAUUUACUUACACGGUUAAGGUAUCGAUUUUUAUUAGUUGCGGCCGUUGCAUCGGAUCACGUACAGAAAUAUUUCGUAC